UAGGGAAUCUUCCACAAUGGGCGAAAGCCUGAUGGAGCAACGCCGCGUGUGUGAUGAAGGGUUUCGGCUCGUAAAACACUGUUGUAAGAGAAGAAUGACAUUGAGAGUAACUGUUCAAUGUGUGACGGUAUCUUACCAGAAAGCCACGGACUAACUACGUGCCAC
rnacentral:rRNA from 1 species